AAGUGAAAAGGGAGAGAAGCGAGAGGUGAAGCGAAGGAAAGAAAACGGUCGUUGCACAUCGUGAAUAAGCUUCUCUUUUUUUUCUUUUGUUUUUUCCUAUUAUAAGCUUUUGCUUUCGUUGUGUGUGUUUUU
rnacentral:ribozyme from 1 species